ensembl:lncRNA
GCUAGGUUGAGCUUCUCAUAUAUUAUUUGUCUGAGAAUGUCAUUACCUUCUUUCUUGAACAAUAGCUCAAUUUUUUUUCUCAUAACAUUGAAGAUAUUAUCCCAAUUCUAUCUGGCUUUCAUUGUUGUUGUUGAUAAAUCAUAAAUUGGUCUAAUAUCCAUUUCUUGGUAGAUAAUUUAUGUUUUAAGAUGUUCUUUUUUCAUUUUUUGUGUUCUUCAGGAUUAUUAUUAUGAUUGAGGUAUCUAUUUCUUUUUUACUUAUUCCCCUUGGGAUUUAUUGUAGCUCCUAGUCCUGAAUGUUGAUAUCUUUAAAUAGUUCUGGAAAAUUCUCAACCAUUUUUGAACAUUAUCUUUUCUUUAUUUUCUAUUAUCUCCGUGGCAGAGACAAAGCUUUGAACAUUCCAGACAGAAUACUCUUAGCUUGUCUGCUGCUGCUGCUGCUGCUGCUAAGUCACUUCAGUUGUGUCUGACUCUGUGUGACCCCGGAGACGGCAGCCCACCAGGCUCCCCCGUCCCUGGGAUUCUCCAGGCAAGAACACUGGAGUGGGUUGCCAUUUCCUUCUCCAAUGCAUGAAAGUGAAAAGUGAAAGUGAAGUCGCUCAGUCGUGUCCUACUCUUAGCGACCCCAUGGACUGCAGCCUAGCUGGCUCCUCUUGGAUUUUCCAGGCAAGAGUACUGGAGUGGGUUGCCAUUUCCUUCUCCGUUAGAUGUGGCAAGGGAUAGUAAGUAAAAGGAAUAAUUUUAUAGUGUAACACCAGCAGGGCAUAAAACCUGUGGAAAGGGUUCUUCCAAAAGAGAAAAUCAGGGCUUAAUUGAGGAAAAUCUCUCUUGAGUAAGGAGCAUGCAUGCGGUCUGCCCCCUGUACUUCAGUGAAUAUUAUAUUAUGUUAUAUUACAUUAUAUAUCUUCCCUUCAUUUCCUUUCAGAAUGGGAAUAUUUAUUGCCAUUAUUUUUUCCUCUUUCACCAUUAUUGAUGUUUUUUGGAUGGAACAUAAUGCUGUCUUUUUAGUUCACAGAUCGCAUGAAAACAGAGGCCAGGUUUAAAGAGAUUAAUAUGAUUAUCAAGAUCCAAGGAUUGUGAGGCACUGGGACUCUACACCCACCUAUCUGCUUUGCCCACUGCUCUCUGUUAAGUCUUGCUGAAAGGAAACACUAGAGGGACACUGUGAGCAAGACAGGAGGGGAGAAGGUAACUCUUCCUGUUUUCCCUUCUUGCUUUAUUCAAUCUCCAGUUCCUGUCCUUGUUACGUAGGGGCUGUUUCUUCACCCCAGCAGCUGAAAGCAUGUUGAAGUUUUUCAGACUUUUGUAGGAACAGUCCCAACACAUCCCCUAAGAAACACCAGCUUCAGCCAUGCAGCACACCCUCUUGGGAAGCCCGAGCUGAGUUUCAGCCUUAUGGGGUCUUUGUUCUGUUUUAAUGAUGCUUGUCUGUCCCCUUAGUUUUCUCAGCCCUAUGGGUGGUAGCUACAUGGUGCAAUGGCUACCUUCCUAACACUUUACAGUUAAGUUAUGCUAAGUCAGUUUUGGUGUAACUUUUUUCCUUCUUGGUUAUUUAUUGGCUUAGUCUAAUUUUUCUGAUUAGACCUAUGUUUCCGUUUUCAGGAAAAAGAAGAAGCUUCAUAGACAGUCCUUGAUUGAGGGCAGGAUUCCAUUCCUAUGUCUUCAUGCAGAGGUGGGGCCACUCUAGGGAACAGAGUGGGAAGCUGAACAUGGGGAGUGAGUGGUGCCCUUUUUGUGCGUUCCUCUUAGAACAGAGUGGGGCUUCCCAGGUGGCGCAGUGGUAAAGGGCCCGCCUGCCAGUUCAGGAGACCCGGGUUCGAUCCCCAGGGUGGGAAGAUCCCCUGGAGGAGGAAAUGGCAACCCACUCCAGUAUUCUUGCCUGGAAAAUUCCACGGCCAGAGGACCCUGGACGGCUACAGCCCAUGGGGUUGCAAAGAGUCGGACACGACUGAGCACACGGGCACACACACCUCAGAAGCAAGCCCAGUUUUUUCUGACUGAGUUGCUGUCACACUUAUGCUCCGGUGAACUCAGAAGCACUUCAAACCUGAAAGCACCUUUGUCUUCAGGUAUUUCUCUGAGGAAGAAAAAUCUGACUGACUCUACUCACUCAAUGGAAAGGAAAACCAAGGUGGAGCAAGGAAGCUGGGCAAGCUGUCCGAUUAGACUGAAGCCAGGACAAGAAUCCUCUAUUUGGACAGUUUUCUUCUGAUCCCUCCUAAAGGGGAUGGGGCGGGGGGUGGUGGCAGGAAAAUUGACCAUUGAGAGCAAGGUUGUUCCUCUUCUUCGACCUUUCUCGCUGGCAAGUACGACCCUUCAUUUUCCUGGCCUGCUACUCUGGUACUUUCCACAGGCAAAAAAAAUUCACUUCAGAGAAAGAAAAUAAAGUGAGAUCAAAGGCUUGUAUAACAAUUUCACUUCCCAGGGAGGAGAGAAAAACCUCGCCUAGCAGCCUGCUUCUCAGGAGUUAUCCGAACCACCCGGUCUCUGUGGUCCACAGUGAUUUGGAAGCAGCAGCGUGGUGUUGGCGCUUCUUUCUGCA